rnacentral:rRNA from 1 species
CGGACGGGUGAGUAACACGUGGGUAACCUACCUAUAAGACUGGGACAACUUCGGGAAACCGGAGCUAAUACCGGAUAAGAUAUCGGACCGCAUGGUUCGAUAGUGAAAGAUGGUUUUGCUAUCACUUAUAGAUGGACCCGCGCCGUAUUAGCUAGUUGGUGAGGUAACGGCUCACCAAGGCAACGAUACGUAGCCGACCUGAGAGGGUGAUCGGCCACACUGGAACUGAGACACGGUCCAGACUCCUACGGGAGGCAGCAGCU